UACGGAGGGUGCAAGCGUUAAUCGGAAUUACUGGGCGUAAAGCGCGCGUAGGCGGCUGGGUAAGUCGAUUGUGAAAGCCCCGGGCUCAACCUGGGAAUGGCAGUGGAUACUGGACAGCUAGAGUGCGGUAGAGGGUAGUGGAAUUCCCGGUGUAGCAGUGAAAUGCGUAGAGAUCGGGAGGAACACCAGUGGCGAAGGCGGCUACCUGGACCAGCACUGACACUGAAGCACGAAAGCGUGGGGAGCAAACAGG
rnacentral:rRNA from 1 species